UACAGAGGUCUCAAGCGUUUGUUCGGAUUCAUUGGGCGUAAAGGGUGUGUAGGUGGCGCCGUAAGUCGGGUGUGAAAUUUCGGAGCUUAACUCCGAAACUGCAUUCGAUACUGCGGUGCUUUGAGGACUGGAGAGGAGACUGGAAUUUACGGUGUAGCGGUGAAAUGCGUAGAUAUCGUAAGGAAGACCAGUGGCGAAAGGCGGGUCUCUGGACAGUUCCUGACGCUGAGGCACGAAAGGUCAGGGGGAGCAAAACGGGG
rnacentral:rRNA from 1 species